AUACUUACCUGGACGGGGUCUAUUGGUGAUCAUUAAGGCCAAUGGCCUAGGUUUGGCUUUCCCAUUGCACUUUGGCUUGGCCGACCUACCAUCUUCCCAAAGUGGAGGAAUGGACGUCAUAAUUUGUGGAAGUUGAGGGCUCGCGUACGCGCGGCCCUCUC
rfam:Selaginella moellendorffii unplaced genomic scaffold SELMOscaffold_1, whole genome shotgun sequence.